rnacentral:rRNA from 1 species
GACGAACCGAGCGACCGUUAUUCGGAAUCACUGGGCUUAAAGGGUGCGUAGGCGGGCGAUCAAGUCAGGGGUGAAAGCCUCCAGCUCAACUGGAGAAGUGCCUUUGAUACUGGUCGUCUCGAGGGAGGUAGGGGCGUGCGGAACUUCCGGUGGAGCGGUGAAAUGCGUAGAUAUCGGAAGGAACACCAGUGGCGAAAGCGGCGCGCUGGACCUCUUCUGACGCUGAGGCACGAAAGCGUGGGGAGCAAACAGG